GGAGAGAAUGAAGAACAUUCACGUAACUACCGUAUUAGUCCUUCUAGAAAGAAGGGUUCGACUUCCGGUAGAUUCGAAUCGAUUAACAGGUGACGGAAUCCCUUUUUUAGAAGCCAGAUCAAACCAUGGGGGCUAAUAAAUAUCAAGCGUUCGCGUGAAUAAAAUUCAUAUACUACAAAUAGUCUGGGUGGUAAGACAGUCAAGAACUUCAUCCGGAGUCACCGAAUAUCAAAAGAACAGCGCCCGCAGAAAAAAAAAAUGGAAAGCUUCUUGGACCCAAGAGUAGAACAACUUCUGUCCAAGAAAACAGACACACAGAGAUUACAAGCGAUUGCGUUCUCCAUAGCAUGUUUGUGUACCGGACCAACACCAUUUCAACCUCCUGAUUACUUCCAUAUUCCGAAAAACAGAGCGGAUACACAAGAGGAGAGUGAUGAAGGGGAAAGUGAAGAAAUUAAAGAGAGCAAAAGUCUGUGAAAGUGCGACCCUUACAUCCGGUUCAGAUGUUGAGCUUCGAUAUACAACAGACCGCGUAACUAGGGACUUAUGCGUGACGAUGAUUAUUGCGUGACCGUUCUCACUGUCUCUCCGUGACGGCCUGUUCAACAGAGCUUACGCCUUUCCUUACUCCUUGCUGGGAAAUCCUGCGCUGCAAAAAACUGCAUAACGGGUAAAGCAGCAAAGAAAAAUUUGUGUAUUUAUUCAAAUAUGUAAAAGGAUAUGAAUUUUAAUGAUGUAUAAAUGUAAAAAAAGCCAUGAAAUCCGGAAAAAAGUUUUUUUGUUGAAAAUAAAAUCCUUGUCAAACUAGACAGGACACCGCUACUUUGAAUAUACUGAAAAUAAAAUAAAAUGAAAUAUCUGGAAAUGCA